UUGGAUUGCUUUUCUUUGCUGGGAAGGAUAGUAUACGUACAAAGCUAUAAGAUGAAUCUGCUACUAGUACUCUGUGUUCUGCUACUGAGUAUAGGCAAGGGAUUGUGCAAUCACUUAAGCAGUAGUUGCCGAGGCAGUACUGAUAUUGGUAACAUUAGACUAGUGGAACCAAGACACACCAUAAAUGAUGGUGCUGCACAAAUCUGUAAUAUAUUCAUGUAUAGGAACGACUCACAAAUUGCUUGGUGCUACUUUAACAGUACAGCUAGAGAGUUGGAACGUGACUGCUGCUAGAGUAGCAUGCAGGCAACUGGGACUACCACACUCAGCUCCUACAGUAACCACGAUUACACUACAGCCAUUUGGGAAUAUAGUUAUUAGACCAGUGACUUGCAAUGGGACAGAAGAUCAACUACGCGAUUGCUUGAGGGGCCGGU